UACGGGGGGGGCAAGCGUUGUUCGGAAUUACUGGGCGUAAAGGGCUCGUAGGUGGCCAACUAAGUCAGACGUGAAAUCCCCAGGCUCAACUUGGGAACUGCGUCUGAUACUGGAUGGCUUGAAUUCGGGAGAGGGAUGCAGAAUUCCAGGUGUAGCGGUGAAAUGCGUAGAUAUCUGGAGGAACACCGGUGGCGAAGGCGGCAUCCUGGACCAACAUUGACGCUGAGGAGCGAAAGCCAGGGGAGCAAACGGG
rnacentral:rRNA from 1 species